rnacentral:lncRNA from 1 species
CACGUGGAAACCCUUUUUACAGACAAAGAUCAGUAACCUGUCCGUCCCUUAGAGCCUUAGGGACGUGCUUGGCAUACUAAGAGGCUAAAUAGCUUUGUUCAUGGUCAAUAUAUCCAGGGUGCGUCAGAGGUAAAACUUGAACCCGGGUCUUCCUGCCUCUAGCUCACUAACAAUCACCCUGCCUCUCUCUUUAAAAAAAUUGUGAUCAUAGAAUUACAGUCACUUGCCUUCAUCAUCUUAGGAAGAAAUUGUUGGAUCUCUUCUAAACCAAUUAAGGAGAAAACCCUCUGCUGAAAACCUUCAUAAAUCUAACAUGAACAAUCUGUUUGCCUGCUUGCAGGGAGCAACAAGGCCCCAUGGCGGCCUCCAUCCUGACCGUACUCAUCUUGACUCUUGCUGCUUGCUUCUUAACAAGUGAAUGUCACAGAAGACAUGAAGGUCACUAUGACAGACCUGGGCCUUAUUUUCAACCGAUGCUACCAAGACCAGGACCAGGACCACUAAUGCCACCGAGACCAGGACCACUGAUACCACCAAGACCACGACCACUGAUGCCACCAAGACCAGGACCACUGAUGCCACCAAGACCAGGACCACUGAUGCCCCCAAGACCAGGACCACUGAUGCCCCCAAGACCAGGACCACUGAUGCCCCCAAGACCAGGACCACUGAUGCCACCAAGACCAGGACCACUGAUGCCACCAAGACCAGGACCACUGAUGCCACCAAGACCUCCCUUUUACCCACCUCCUCCAUAUCCCUUUCCACCUCCCUACCAGCCUAAUCCUAAUAUUCCUUUUCCACCAAGGCCAUUUCCAUAUCCUCCUAUAGGUCCUUUUCCUACUUCUAAUCCUAUUGUUAAUGCCACUUCUACACAAUCCACCACCACCUCUACUCCCAAGACCACCACUACACCUACCACUUCCCCCACUCCUACCACCACCACUACACCUACCACUCCCCCCACUCCUACCACCACCAACACACCUACCACUCCCCCAAAUCCUACCACCACUAACACACCUACCACUUCCCCCACUCCUACCACCACCAACACACCUACCACUUCCCCCACUCCUACCACCACUAACACACCUACCACUCCCCCCACUCCUUCUACCACAUCCACUGCUGCCCCUAAUGAGACAAGUCAAAGUGAAGCCACAACUCCAGCAGCA